rnacentral:rRNA from 1 species
UAGGGAAUCUUCGGCAAUGGACGAAAGUCUGACCGAGCAACGCCGCGUGAGUGAAGAAGGUUUUCGGAUCGUAAAACUCUGUUGUUAGAGAAGAACAAGGACGUUAGUAACUGAACGUCCCCUGACGGUAUCUAACCAGAAAGCCACGGCUAACUACGUGCCAGCAGCCGCGGUAAUACGUAGGUGGCAAGCGUUGUCCGGAUUUAUUGGGCGUAAUGCGAGCGCAGGCGGUUUCUUAAGUCUGAUGUGAAAGCCCCCGGCUCAACCGGGGAGGGUCAUUGGAAACUGGGAGACUUGAGUGCAGAAGAGGAGAGUGGAAUUCCAGGUGUAGCGGUGAAAUGCGUAGAUAUAUGGAGGAACACCAGUGGCGAAGGCGGCUCUCUGGUCUGUAACUGACGCUGAGGCUCGAAAGCGUGGGGAGCAAACAGG